rnacentral:piRNA from 1 species
UUUUGAAUCUGGCCUGAUAGU